AACUAAAAAAGCUAAUUAUUCAAGGGCCAAUGACAUUUAAAGAAAUUUACACUGGUCCUAUUUUUCACCGUCAAUCUCUUCAGAAUUGCUCUAUGCCAUGGAGAUCAACGACAUCUUUCUCUCUGCGCAUGUCCCAAUCAUUGUUGCCUUUGAAUGUGCUCAGCGACUCGAUGACACAUGUUUAGGGUUCUCACUCUUUCACAAAUGGUUUAUUCGACGAGGCUAGAGAGACUAGAUAUGGGUCUUGGACUCAAGGUUGAGUAUGAUCCUAAGCUGAUUACAUUCAAGCAAUUUGUGGAAGUUUUUUGGUCUAGUCAUGAUUCGAGGCUAGUAUUUUCUUACUUGAUAAUCUUUAUGGUUUGAUUUUUAAUGUCUUAGACUGAUAUCCAACUGAUGUUAGAAAGACAAUCGUUCAAGGAAUCAGCCUAGAAGCUGAUCUAGUAAGCAUCCAAGCCAUGAUCCAUCUAUUAUUUACAAACUAAAUGUAGCUUCAAGUAAUAGCUUGACAUACAAAUUUAUUUUUGACAGGCACUCCCCAUCUUGGUUUCUAUUUUGUUAAAUUUGUUCCUUUUUUUUUUCCUUACACAUUUUACAGAGCAACAUGUAUGGUGUAAAGAUAUAUGCGUUCAUAUUUAUAAAUGUUUGUCUUAGAUA